UACGAAGGGGGCUAGCGUUGUUCGGAAUUACUGGGCGUAAAGGGCGCGUAGGCGCCCGCUCAGUCAGAUGUGAAAGCCCCGGGCUCAACCUGGGAACUGCAUUUGAUACUGGCGGGCUUGAGUUCCGGAGAGGAUGGUGGAAUUCCCAGUGUAGAGGUGAAAUUCGUAGAUAUUGGGAAGAACACCGGUGGCGAAGGCGGCCAUCUGGACGGACACUGACGCUGAGGCGCGAAAGCGUGGGGGAGCAAACAGGG
rnacentral:rRNA from 1 species